UUAAUAAAUAGUUCACAAUUAGUUAAUACCGAUCAAUAGGAUCUAUUUGUUUUGUGCACAGUACUCUUUAAAAAAGUGUGCACAAAAUUGGACUUGUUUGAGACCAUAACGAAACUUGUAGAAAUAUGCGGGGGCGGUGCUUACCUUCAAGGCUAAUGAUAUAGAGAGCUUAAUCUAACUUUCAUUCCCCUAAUUACUCCCAUCUCUCCUCCCUGGUUGUAGAAUACGAGUUUACACAAACCCUAUAUUCUUCUAUUUCAACUAAAAUCUUCGGAACGAUGGAAAAUCAAUGAAGCCAUCUUCCUCUUUUCCAUUGUAUAUUCUCUCUCUGUCUUUCUUCAAUUUCAAUCGCAUCUUCCGUUUUUUUUAAAAAGAAAUAUUUUAAUUGUUUCGCUUUAUUUGUUGCUGAGAUUAAUUCAAGGGGUAAUAUAAAUUUAAUCGUGUAUGAGUAAGAUGUGUUUAAUUGUUGUAUGAAAUUGAAUUCGAUCCCGCAUAGAAGGAAGAGAUGGAUGUAACUAAUGGUACACUAUAUAAAGUAUGGGGGUUUGCUGUUAAACCAUCCCUAGCGGUAUGUAUGUUGACGGAGGCUAUGACCCCUACUGCAUUAUAGGUGGCAGCUCUUUUGGUGUCUAUUGUCGUGUUUAGGUAGGUGGCAGCAGCUCCUUUGGAGAAAUUGGGAAGGAAUGGAACUGAAUUGAAGAUGAAUAAGUUGAUCCGUACAUUUCAUACUUUUAAUUUUUGCACUAUCAGGUUCCAUCAUAAACUUUUAGGUCUCCUAAUAUUUAAGGAAGUGGUAAGUGGUCAUGUAUGGUUCUACAUACUUUUGUCUAUGAUUGUGUAAAUUAUCUCGGGAUGUGUUUUAGGGAUGGAAUGGGAGGAAGUUGAAGCAUUUGUAAGACAACUUGAUGGUUAUGUAUAUAAUUAAAGGAUUUGAUUCUCAACUAUCUCUGGGUACAAUAGUAGAAGUUGCUCUAGCUUUAAUUUAAGGUCUGACACCUGCGGUGAAAGGAUAUUGUAGGAUCAUGUGUCUCCAGUGACUAGACCUCUGAUUCAGAUUACACUUUUUGCAAGGAAAAUUUAAUGAAAUUAUUGUGUGUUAUGAAAUGAAUACAUGUUUUGACAUUUGUUCAGUAAUAAUUAGAAUUAAAGUGUACAACAAAGAACCUAGAAUUGUCACCGUGUAAUUUCAUAACAUCAUACUUCUUUCGAAAAUUACUAAUAAAUACUCGCGCUCUAGGCAAGAAAAUCAUACUAACGAAUUCUGAUGAGGAAAUUAUUCCCAUAACCCGUGAAACAGAAAAAGACAACAAAUUAGUAGUUGUGCAAUCUAACAACAAGGCUUGAAGAGAAAUCCUUUUUUUUUAGAAUUACAAUAAAAAAAAAUUCAUGUUAGUUUUGAUUAUUUUUAAUUAAUUUUAUUAUUCCCUGUUUUUAAUUUUAUUAAUUGACUACUUUUAACAUUAUCAUUUUUUAGUAUUUUACUAUUUUUAUUGUCUAUAUUUCUCAAAUUUUGAACUCCAAAACAAUUACCAUCACUAAUACGUAAUUUGCUCUGCAAAACUUCUUGGGCCGUGCAACGCACGGGCACGAUAAUUAAUUUUAAUUAAAAGAAAUAUUAGGGAAAGACUUUGUGGUUCUAGUUAGAUGUAACGAAACAUUGUGCUUGCAAAUUUGAAUUAAAAGAAAUAAACAAAAAAGAAGAAGGGAAUAGUAGUACCUCAAUCAUGUCUCCAACAUUGACGAUAAAAGCAUGAAGGAGGGGUUUCUCUAGAAGCCAUUUUCCAUCUUUACGGAUUUGAAGCCCAUCUGUUUCGUUAAUUUGUAGAAGAAUCGUCAAAGCACAAGCAUCCGAGUGUGGUGAUGCACCUAAUACCUGCUCUGGUUUUGGGCAAGGAGGAUAGUAACUCAACCUCAUUCUUUGCCAACAGUCAUUAAAUAAAUCUAUCAUCUCGUUAGAGUCCAUGUUUAAGCUUAGUCUUAUGGGCUAGAUAUUUUGCUCAUAGAUUGGCCAUCCACGUCAGCAUGGGCAACCUCCUAAGUCCUAUGGGAUGACUAAUCUAGCAGCGGGACCACCAUAUAACGCCGAACUCUUCGGCGCUUUAAAUCUCAGCCGUUAGAUCAGAAAAUUUUCUCCCAACGCUGAAAUACGGUUCAGCGUUUAGACCACUUUUUGAGCGUCGAACGGUUCAGCGUUUCAAUCUCGCUGAUAGUUGGACUGCGAGCACCUGGUAGGAGAGAGAACUAUCAACUAUCACUGUUAACUUUUUUCCAACACUUAUUUUUUGAUUUGCAACACUUUUUGGGCAAUCUAGCGCUUCAAUCUAGCCCAUAGAAAUUAGUCUUAGAGCUUUUGACAUUUGUCCAAGGAGAAUCAUGGUCAGUUUUUUUAAUCCUAACGAAUAAGCCUCCA